GGAAAGAUGUCCGAGUGGUCGAAGGAGCACGCCUGGAAAGUGUGUAAACGCCGAAAGUGUUUCCUGGGUUCGAAUCCCAGUCUUUCCG
rnacentral:tRNA from 1 species